GCAUAUCAAUAAGCGGAGGAAAAGAAACCAACAGGGAUUGCCCUAGUAACGGCGAGUGAAGCGGCAACAGCUCAAAUUUGAAAUCUGGCGCAAGCCCGAGUUGUAAUUUGUAGAGGAUGCUUCUGGGUAGCGACCGAUCUAAGUUCCUUGGAACAGGACGUCAUAGAGGGUGAGAAUCCCGUAUGUGACCGGCCCGCACCCUUUACGUAGCUCCUUCGACGAGUCGAGUUGUUUGGGAAUGCAGCUCUAAAUGGGAGGUAAAUUUCUUCUAAAGCUAAAUACCGGCCAGAGACCGAUAGCGCACAAGUAGAGUGAUCGAAAGAUGAAAAGUACUUUGGAAAGAGAGUUAAAAAGCACGUGAAAUUGUUGAAAGGGAAGCGCCUGCAACCAGACUUCGCGGCAGUGUUCCGCCGGUCUUCUGACCGGUUCAUUCUCUGUCGCGAGGCCAUCAUCGUCUGGGCCCGCCGGAUAAGACCUUAGGAAUGUAGCUCACCUUCGGGGGAGUGUUAUAGCCUAGGGUGAUGCGGCGAGGCUCGGGCGAGGUCCGCGCUUCGGCAAGGAUGAUGGCGUAAUGGUUGUCGGCGGCCCGUCUUGAAACACGGACCAAGGAGUCUAACAUCUAUGCGAGUGUUCGGGUGUCAAACCCCUACGCGUAAUGAAAGUGAACGGAGGUGGGAACCGCAAGGUGCACCAUCGACCGAUCCUGAUGUCCUCGGAUGGAUUUGAGUAAGAGCAUAGCUGUUGGGACCCGAAAGAUGGUGAACUAUGCCUGAAUAGGGUGAAGCCAGAGGAAACUCUGGUGGAGGCUCGCAGCGGUUCUGACGUGCAAAUCGAUCGUCAAAUUUGGGUAUAGGGGCGAAAGACUAAUCGAACCAUCUAGUAGCUGGUUCUGCCGA
rnacentral:rRNA from 1 species